UACAGAGGGUGCAAGCGUUAAUCGGAAUUACUGGGCGUAAAGCGUGCGUAGACGGUUGCGUAAGUCAGAUGUGAAAGCCCCGGGCUCAACCUGGGAAUUGCAUUUGAGACUGCGUAGCUAGGGUGCGGAAGAGGGAAGCGGAAUUUACGGUGUAGCGGUGAAAUGCGUAGAUAUCGUAAGGAAGACCAGUGGCGAAGGCGGGUCUCUGGACAGUUCCUGACGCUGAGGCACGAAGGCCAGGGGAGCAAACGGG
rnacentral:rRNA from 1 species